GACGAACGCUGGCGGCGUGCUUAACACAUGCAAGUCGAGCGGAGUGCCCUUGAAAGAGGCUUCGGCCAAUGGAUGGGAACACUUAGUGGCGGACUGGUGAGUAACGCGUGAGGAACCUGCCUUGGAGUGGGGAAUAACACAGUGAAAAUUGUGCUAAUACCGCAUAAUGCAGUUGGGCCGCAUGGCUCUGACUGCCAAAGAUUUAUCGCUCUGAGAUGGCCUCGCGUCUGAUUAGCUAGUUGGUGGGGUAACGGUCUACCAAGGCGACGAUCAGUAGCCGGCCUGAGAGGGUGAACGGCCACAUUGGGACUGAGACACGGCCCAA
rnacentral:rRNA from 1 species